GAUGAACGCUGGCGGCGUGCCUAAUACAUGCAAGUCGAGCGAACAGACGAGGAGCUUGCUCCUCUGACGUUAGCGGCGGACGGGUGAGUAACACGUGGAUAACCUACCUAUAAGACUGGGAUAACUUCGGGAAACCGGAGCUAAUACCGGAUAAUAUAUUGAACCGCAUGGUUCAAUAGUGAAAGACGGUUUUGCUGUCACUUAUAGAUGGAUCCGCGCCGCAUUAGCUAGUUGGUAAGGUAACGGCUUACCAAGGCAACGAUGCGUAGCCGACCUGAGAGGGUGAUCGGCCACACUGGAACGGAGACACGGACCAGAGUCCUGCGAGAGGCAGCAGUAGGGUAUGUUCCGCAGUAGUCGAAAGCCUUACGGAGCGGCGGCGCGUGAGUGAUGAAGGUCUUCGGAUCGGAAAACUCUGUUAUGAGGGAAGAACAAAUUUGUAAGUAACUAUGCACGGCUUGACGGUACCUAAUCAGAAAGCCACGGCUAACUACGUG
rnacentral:rRNA from 1 species